rnacentral:rRNA from 1 species
UAAUAUAUAGGUAACAUGCCUUCGAGAAGGGGAUAACGUUUGGAAACGAACGCUAAUACCCUAUAUGCCUUUAAGUCUUAAGACUGCAAGGGAAAUAUUUAUAGCUCGAAGAUUGGCCUGUACAGUAUCAGCUAGUUGGUGAGGUAAUGGCUCACCAAGGCAAUGACGCUUAACUGGUUUGAGAGGAUGAUCAGUCACGCUGGAACUGAGACACGGUCCAGACUCCUACGGGAGGCAGCAGUGGGGAAUAUUGCACAAUGGACGAAAGUCUGAUGCAGCAACGCCGCGUGGAGGAUGACACAUUUCGGUGCGUAAACUCCUUUUAUAUAGGAAGAUAAUGACGGUACUAUAUGAAUAAGCACCGGCUAACUCCGUGCCAGCAGCCGCGGUAAUACGGAGGGUGCAAGCGUUACUCGGAAUCACUGGGCGUAAAGAGAAUGUAGGCGGGUAGAUAAGUUUGAAGUGAAAUCCGAUGGCUCAACCAUUGAACUGCUUUGA